rnacentral:rRNA from 1 species
CACGUAGUUAGCCGUGGCUUCCUCCUUUGGUACCGUCAUUAUCUUGCAUUGUUCACACAAGAUACGUUCGUCCCAAACGACAGAGUUUUACAAUCCGAAGACCUUCUUCACUCACGCGGCGUUGCUCCGUCAGACUUUCGUCCAUUGCGGAAGAUUCCCCACUGCUGCCUCCCGUAGGAGUCUGGGCCGUGUCUCAGUCCCAGUGUGGCCGUUCAUCCUCUCAGACCGGCUACUGAUCGUCGCCUUGGUGAGCCGUUACCUCACCAACUAGCUAAUCAGACGCAGACCCAUCUCUAAACGGUAGCAUUGUUAAGAGGCCACCUUUCUUAACUCAGUCAUGCGACUAAGUUACCACAUUCGGUAUUAGCACCACUUUCGCGGUGUUAUCCCCAAUUUAGAGGUAGGUUGUCUACGCGUUACUCACCCGUUCGCCACUAAGUAGCUAUUGCUAACUACUCCGUUCGACUUGCAUGUGUUAGGCACGCCGCCAGCGUCGUCUCGUAGCACGGAC